rnacentral:rRNA from 1 species
UACGUAGGGUGCAAGCGUUUGUCCGGAAUUAUUGGGCGUAAAGAGCUCGUAGGCGGUUUGUCGCGUCGAAUGUGAAAACCCACAGCUCAACUGUGGGCUUGCAUUCGAUACGGGCAGGCUAGAGUUCGGUAGGGGGAGACUGGAAUUCCUGGUGUAGCGGUGAAGUGCGCAGAUAUCAGGAGGAACACCGGUGGCGAAGGCGGGGUCUCUGGGCCGAUACUGACGCUGAGGAGCGAAAAGCGUGGGGGAGCGAACAGG